rnacentral:rRNA from 1 species
GAUGAACGCUGGCGGCGUGCCUAAUACAUGCAAGUCGAGCGAACAGACGAGGAGCUUGCUCCUCUGACGUUAGCGGCGGACGGGUGAGUAACACGUGGAUAACCUACCUAUAAGACUGGGAUAACUUCGGGAAACCGGAGCUAAUACCGGAUAAUAUAUUGAACCGCAUGGUUCAAUAGUGAAAGACGGUUUUGCUGUCACUUAUAGAUGGAUCCGCGCCGCAUUAGCUAGUUGGUAAGGUAACGGCUUACCAAGGCAACGAUGCGUAGCCGACCUGAGAGGGUGAUCGGCCACACUGGAACUGAGACACGGUCCAGACUCCUACGGGAGGCAGCAGUAGGGAAUCUUCCGCAAUGGGCGAAAGCUUGACGGAGCAACGCCGCGUGAGUGAUGAAGGUCUUCGGAUCGUAAAACUCUGUUAUUAGGGAAGAACAAAUGUGUAAGUAACUAUGCACGCCUUGACGGUACCUAAUCAGAAAGCCACGGCUAACUACGUG